CCAUCUGCCACUAAACCAUGUGCACAAUACAACUGUCCCACGCUGUCUUGGACACUCUUACAUGAUUCCCUCCAGCAGUCCUUCUCUGCUUCAGAUAACUAGUGAACCCCUAGCCAUUGUGCAAGCAUCAACUGAGGAAGCACCUCCUUCUGGGAAAUACUUCCCUUACUCUCCCAUCCUCUACCAACAAGAAUUAAUUAUUUUUUGUUUGUAUAUCCAGGUCCUAGAUCCAACUCUUGUACUCAUCUCAUUAUAAUAUCAUUAUAAUUUACAUUGUAAUCCUACCAAAUAGUUAUGUAUUUCAGGACAGAAUGAGACCAGAUUCCCCAGAAAACAGACCUGGAGGCAAAAGUUUAUAUGAUAACACUUUCUAGAGAAGUGCAAUUCCAGGGCUGCAGAAACAAGGCAGGAAAGGAGUGAGAACAAACACGAGAGAGUGUGUCACAGAGCUGGCCACAGCUUUCUCAUAAACAGAUUGCCCAGAUUUACAGAAUGUCUUCAGGGAGGUGGUAUGAAGCUGAGUCUCCAGUCAGUCAGUUCAGGAGUAGGAUGAAGGAAAAAUUUAUACACCAACUCCCUUCUCUCAUUGAGAAAAUGUUUGACCACAUGGAAUGUUAAGUCCUUGGAACUUCCAGGUUGCACAUGUGAGUUCCAACAGGUACCACAGUGUUGUGGUGGCAACAGGGAAAUCCAAGGACAAGAGUUACAUGACAUGGGCAUGAAGCAAGAUGCUGCUGGGUUGGUUCUUCCUUCAAGCAAUGUGAAGGAAGAGUGUUCCUGCUGCAACCCCACCCACAACUGUGGGAAACAGCAGAAGUGAGACAUGAUCAUUCUCCGAAGAACCAAAGCAACUCUCCAGCAUCACUGUAAAGUCCACGCUUACAUUCCCCACCCCACAUGCUCUACGUUUACUUCACUACUAGCAUCUACGGUUGGUGCCAUCCUUAAACUGGCAACAAGACGGUUGUAGUAGUUCCAAGUAUCACCUCCAGGCAAGACAAUAUCCGGAGACAGAAUAAAAAUCAUCUCUUUCAAUUUCUCUUUCUUAUGAUCAAGAAAACCUCCCCUCACUUCUACAGCCAAGACAGGGUCACCUGCUCACCUUUAGUCACUGGGAAGGAAAAGAAGAACUCCAGGAUUAGCUCAGACCACUUCUCAGCAAACUACUACUUACCUCAGCCAUUGUAGCAGGGAUGGAUAAUACAUAAAUGAAUAAAAGUGGCUGUGUUCCAACUUUAUUUACAAAAACAGGUGGAGGCCUGGAUUUGUUUUUCUGUAGUCAGCUGAAUUCUACUAGUUAGACUAACAGAAGUUAUCUUUAUAGUUAUAUAAAGAAUUAGUUUCCCAGAAUCACAUAGUAGACUUGUAAACAAAAUUGAGGUAGGAGGAAGAAAGCUGGAAAGGCAAAUGGAGGCAGCAACUAACUGGGUCUACUACAACCUGCUUUGCACCUUGUGCAAUGCUAACAAUGUAAGACCAGGCUGCCUGUCACUCUUCUAUGAUUUCUUUUCCUCUUUCAAGGAUUAUGACAAAAAUAUAAAGUGACUUGCCUCAGGAGGCUGGGAAUGGGGGUAAGGGGAAGAGUGUAAGGUAAGAUUAGAUUCCAGAAAAGUUGGCUGGGUGCAGUGGCUCAUGCCUGUAAUCCUAGCACUCUGGGAGGCCGAGGUGGGAGGAUUGCCCAUAGUUAAAUCAAUAAACAGAAGGGGAAAAAAGCUUGGAUUUUUUUUUUUCACAUUUUCAUGUUUUAUGUAGAUUUAGAAUAAAGUAUCUGGAGAGGAGAGGACUAGACAGAUUUUUGAAAAGUUGUCACGUGAAAGAAGCCGGAAGUAACCUAAACACAUUUAAAUAAUAUUCUGACAGUCUGAAUGGGCGGCAUUUAUAUAUAAACUUAAAUGAAAGCAGAUGCCCAUUACAAAAAGAAGUCUGUAUAGUUCUCCAGGGAUUUAUUAUAGAAGUACUAUAUCCAACUUCAACUGAGAAAGAAGAGAUCAGAAGCUACCAGCCUCCCCCUCUGUUCAUCCUUUAUGCCCAAAGGUACUCUUUUCCUCUACCAGACUGAAAUGGCACCAGGAAUGAUUUUAACGUUCAGCAUUAAAAACCCUGACGUUAUUUCUCUACCUAUGUCUCCAUGCUUUUAAAACAUUUAGGCAGAAGCAGUUCAAUGGGCAUGAGGCAUGAGAAGACAUGCAGCCAUUAACACCACCCUCACUUAACAGCCUGUGAAGGGAAUAGGCUUUCAUAUCAAGUCAAGGAAUUCAGAGCCUCUCCAGAACUGAUCACAUUCCUUGGUCUGACUCUAAAAACAUCAUAAGCAUCCCUUCCCACCAUGGUCUCUGGAUCUGCUCUAGAUCACAUAUGUUCUAGAAAGAUCAGGUAUAGAAGACCUGAUCACAGGUCAUAGAAGUAUCUCUCAAUCAAGUGUUCAUCUAGUUACUUGAACCACAAAGUGAUUUGCUCUAAAAACCAUAACUUAAUCAGUCAGUUAUGGCACUGAAUCAGUUUAUGAAAAAUCCUUUAGUAUGUGUCCACACAGGAAACACAUGGUAUGUGAUGGGCAUCUUAGGAAACAAAUUAGAAGCAGCUAGACCCACUCUCUGGGAGCUGAAGGAAUUAAACAAUAUGCAAGAGUAGACAAAAGAUAAAACUAUCAUUAAUGGAAAGUCUACGAAAUGCAUAUACAUAUUUAAUAAAAAUGCACUGUUUCUUU